rnacentral:lncRNA from 1 species
UUCGCCUCAGGUCAUGAUCUGGGGGUUUGUGGGUUCGAGCCCUGCAUUGGGCUCUGUGCUGACAGCUCAGAGCCUGGAGCCUGCUUCUGAUUCUGUGUCUCCCUUUCUCUCUGCCCUCCCCUGCUCGCAUUCUGUCUCUCAAAAAUAAAUAAAAAGUUAAAAAAAUAAAAAACAAAGAAAGAAAGAAGAACAAAGAAAGAAAGAAAAGAAGGAAGGAAACAGAAGGCAGAAAGGACGGAAGGUGGAAAGAAAAGACUGUCUGGAAUGUGGUGGCUUCUCCUUUAUCUGUGUAGAUCAUACAGGGUGUGCUGAGUUUUCUCUAUUGGUCUAUCCUUCUCCCACACUGUCCAAGAUCCAGUGGCUGCCUGAUGAGCCCUAGCAUGGAUCCUCGGAAGCUAAACCCUACAGAGUGCAAUGCAGGAGUUUCUUACUAGUUGUUUCCCAUUUGUAUUUGAUCAAUGGGAAGGAUCCAGAGCAACUUAGGAGUCAGAAGAAAAGAGAGGAGUCAUGUUGGAAGGGCAGUACCAAACAUGGACUACCUUAGAGAAGCCAGUGAUGGACACUUGCCUUCAGUGACAGAGGCAUUCACCUUUGAUCCACAAGAAACAUGAAGAGGAACAAAAGCUGAAAGCUUGAAUUCCUGUCACUACCAUGCAUCCUCCCCCCUAGUCCCACCC